rnacentral:rRNA from 1 species
UACGUAGGGUGCGAGCGUUGUCCGGAAUUAUUGGGCGUAAAGGGCUCGUAGGCGGUUUGUCGCGUCGGGAGUGAAAACUCAGGGCUUAACCCUGAGCCUGCUUCCGAUACGGGCAGACUAGAGGUAUGCAGGGGAGAACGGAAUUCCUGGUGUAGCGGUGAAAUGCGCAGAUAUCAGGAGGAACACCGGCGGCGAAGGCGGUUCUCUGGGCAUUACCUGACACUGAGGAGCGAAAGUGUGGGGAGCGAACAGG